rnacentral:tRNA from 1 species
GCGAAAGUGGCGGAAUUGGCAGACGCGCCAGACUUAGGAUCUGGUGGGGUAACACCCGUGGGGGUUCGAGUCCCCCCUUUCGCACCU